GCCAGUGUAGUGUAAUGGUUUGAGUGUUGGACUAUGACUCUGGAGAUUAGGGUUCAAAUCCCCACUCUGUUA
rnacentral:tRNA from 1 species